rnacentral:lncRNA from 1 species
AUGAUAUUCAGUUACCUGGAGCUACUGCAUGAUGAGAUGGAUUAUUAUGUGGAGGGGAAUGUGCUCAGCUGUCGGAAUGAGGAAUUCAAAUUCAUCAAGGACAUCAAGCUGGUCCAGAAGGCUGCAAAUCUGUACACCGUGCAGCCCGACGAGCACUUUGGGGCCUGGUUCCAGGCCAUGGAGCCCCUGAGCAAGGAAGCGAGCUACAGCCUGUCCUGUCAGCUGGAGUCCCGAUACCAGUGGACCAGAAAAAUUCGACUCUUCUUCAAAGACAAGAAGAGCCGUGCAUCUUCCUGCCCAGGGCUGAACACCAGGUCCCCAAAAAAGAGCCCAGCGGUGAUGGCAGAUAAUGCUCCUGAGACCAGCUGAACCACAGAAGGGACACAGCGGGGACACUCAAGUGCACGGGGCCACGUCUCAGAUGCUGACAUGAAUGAUAACAUUGUGAUCCAUUCCCUGGGGUCCGCUGAAGGCCACAAGGGAGUGGACGACUCCCCCCACCAUCUCCCUCACACAUUUUCCCAAGCGCCUGUUUCCCUCUUUGGAGGGGCCAUGUUUUUGUUGUCAAUGAUAAAUGCUAAGUUUGGGUAUUUUAUUAAAUUUCUGUUUUGUUCUCAGCCUGGGAGUGGACAUGUGGUUCUUUCGCUCUCUGUGCUCAUGGAAAUGAGAUCCAGAAUCUCACAUUCCUCCUUGAAUUCAGAAACCUCGCAGAGUCCUCAGCUCAGG